CCUACGGGUGGCAGCAGUGGGGAAUAUUGGGCAAUGGGCGCAAGCCUGAACCAGCAAAGCCGCGUGAAGGAAGAAGGCUUUCGGGUUGUAAACUUCUUUUGUCCGGGGAGCGUAGAAGACGGUACCUGACGAAUAAGCCACGGCUAAAUACGUGCCAGCAGCCGCGGUAAUACGUAGGUGGCAAGCGUUGUCCGGAUUUACUGGGUGUAAAGGGCGUGUAGCCGGGUUGACAAGUCAGAUGUGAAAUCCUGCGGCUUAACCGCAGAACUGCAUUUGAAACUGUUGAUCUUGAGUACUGGAGAGGCAUACGGAAUGCGUAGUGUAGCGGUGAAAUGCGUAGAUAUUACGAGGAACACCAGUGGCGAAGGCGGUCUGCUGGACAGCAACUGACGGUGAGGCGCGAAAGCGUGGGGAGCAAACAGGAUUAGAUACCCGUGUAGUC
rnacentral:rRNA from 1 species